rnacentral:rRNA from 1 species
UACAGAGGAGCCAAGCGUUGUCCGGAUUGACUGGGCGUAAAGCGCACGCAGGCGGCACCGCGCGUGGGGUGUGAAAUCUGGCCGCUUAACGGCCAGGCGCCAUCCCAUACGGCGGAGCUGGAGUGAUGCAGAGGUCGAUGGAAUUGCCGGUGUAGUGGUGAAAUGCGUAGAUAUCGAGAGGAACACCGGUGGCGAAGGCGGCAUCCUGGACCAACACUGACGCUGAGUGAGCGAAAGCCAGGGGAGCAAACGGG